rnacentral:rRNA from 1 species
GACAGAGGGUGCAAACGUUGUUCGGAAUUACUGGGCGUAAAGCGAGUGUAGGCGGUCUCAUAAGUCGGGUGUGAAAGCCCUGGGCUCAACCCAGGAAGUGCACUCGAUACUGCGAGGCUAGAGUAUCGGAGAGGUUGGUGGAAUUCUCGGUGUAGAGGUGAAAUUCGUAGAUAUCGAGAGGAACACCGGUGGCGAAGGCAAUUUGCUAGGCUGAUUCAGACACUGAGAUGUGAAAGCGUGGGGAGCGAACGGG